AUCCUUUUGUAGUUCAUAAGCAUGAUGAUUGGGUGUUCAUGCUCUUGUGUGAGAUAUGCCUCCCUGAAACCUUGUUAUAUUGGCACAUACCCAUAUGAUG